AACGAACGCUGGCGGCAUGCCUAACACAUGCAAGUCGAACGAGACCUUCGGGUCUAGGGGCGCACGGGGGCGUAACGCGGGGGAACCUGCACGUAGGUUCGGAAUAACUCCCCGAAAGGGGUGCUAAUACCGGAUAAUGUCUUCGGACCAAAGAUUUAUCGCCUUUGGAUGGGCCCGCGUUGGAUUAGCUAGUUGGUAGGGUAAAAGCCUACCAAGGCGACGAUGCAUAGCUGGUCUGAGAGGAUGAUCAGCCACACUGGGACUGAGACACGGCCCAGACUCCUACGGGAGGGAGCAGUGGGGAAUAUUGGACAAUGGGCGAAAGCCUGAUCCAGCAAUGCCGCGUGAGUGAUGAAGGCCUUAGGGUUGUAAAGCUCUUUUACCCGGGAUGAUAAUGACAGUACCGGGAGAAUAAGCUCCGGCUAACUCCGUG
rnacentral:rRNA from 1 species